GCUUUGUCUAUAUGUCGCUCAAAUGAAGUUUCAAUGAAGCCUUAAACAGAAUUAAAUGAAUUGUGUAACUGCUGAACAAUACUAAAGUACUGUUUUGCGGCAAUAAAAUAAUCAACUAAAAAUAGAGGAAAGUGUUAUAACGAGAAAAUUAAGGGCUUAAAGGAUCGUCUGUAAUGAACAUAAAGCAAUUGAUGGUAUGAUAGAGUAAUUAUUUUCGUAUUUACAUCAUUAACGAUUGUAAUUUAACGUU